GACGAACGCUGGCGGCGCGCCUAACACAUGCAAGUCGAGCGAGAACCAGGGCUUCGGCCCUGGGGACAGCGGCGAACGGGUGAGUAACACGUGGAUAACCUGCCCUCGGCACCGGAAUAGCCCGGGGAAACCCGGAUUAAUACCGGAUGGCCCCUCAGCCCCUCGGGGCGGUGGGGAAAGGUAGCUUCGGCCUCUGGCCGAGGAUGGGUCCGCGGCGGAUUAGCUAGUUGGCGGGGUAAUGGCCCACCAAGGCGACGAUCCGUAGCUGGUCUGAGAGGACGAUCAGCCACACUGGGACUGAGACACGGCCCAGACUCCUACGGGAGGCAGCAGUGGGGAAUCUUGCGCAAUGGGCGAAAGCCUGACGCAGCGACGCCGCGUGCGGGAAGAAGGUCUUCGGAUUGUAAAGCACUUUAAGUCGGGAGGAAGGGCUGUAGGUUAAUACCUUGCAGCCUUGACGUUACCGACAGAAUAAGCACCGGCUAACUUCGUGCCAGCCGCCGCGGUAA
rnacentral:rRNA from 1 species